UUCGUGGCGUGGAAGGACGCAUAUGACGGCGAUACUGGCGCAGCAUCUAAUGUGUGCCGUUUCCGAAGUUGGCUACUCCCUCAACUUAAGCAUAUCAAUAGGGGACGGAGAAGAAACAAACAUGGAUUCCCUUAGUAGUGGCGAAUGAAGCGGGAGCUGUCCGGAUGGCAAGCCGCUAGGCGUUGUAGACAGAUGUAACGAAGUGGCAUGGAAGUGCACACGACACAGGGUGAGAGUCCCGUCGAUAUUUGUAAUUUGAGAGUAACGCUGCUUGGUACUGCAGCGCGAAGGGGUGGUUGGACCAUCCAAGACUAAAUAUACGCGAACACCGAUAGUGGACAAGUACUGCGAAGGAAAGACGACAGCUCAUGAGGGCUGAUGAUUGAAAUCAGGAGCACGGAAGGCAAUUGAUUGCACCCGUCUUGAAACACGGACCAAGGAGUGCAGUGGGCCAGCAAGUAUUCUGUACAGACUACACGAUGCGCAGCGAAGGCUAUGCAGCUGGUGUACUGCGACCCGAUAGAUAGUGAACUAUGCCUGGUCUAGAUGAAGUCCGGGGAAACUCUGAUGGAAGUCUUAAGCCGUUCUGACGUUCAAUUCGAUGGCAUGAACUGGGUAUAGGGGCGAAAGACCAAUCGAACUAUCUGGUAGCUGGUUCCUUCCGAAAUGUCUCUCAGGACAGCGCCUGGAUGUAUGUAACCUUGUGUAGAGUAUGAACUCAUUUGUUCUGAAACUGCGAAGCAGGGAGUGGCGUUGCUUUGAUGAACGCCUGGAUAAUAGACUGGGUAGUGGGCUGAUGCUAGUAAGUAGCGUUGGCGAAGAGGGAUGAACCUGUUGGCGAGAUAAGAUCUCCAAGCAAAAGGCAGUGAAACCAGUAAAGAGGCAGAUGAAUCUAGACAGUGGGGCGGUGGCCAUAGAAGUUGGAAUCCGCUAAGAAACGUGUUACAACGUACCUACCGAAUUCAACUGUUCUGAAAAUGGACGAGGCUAUACUUUUGCAUCGAUUCUCGUCACGCUUUGCGUAGUAGGAAGGCAUGGAGGGUGUGCAGAAGCACGCGGGUGACUGUGUGUGGAACAGCCUCCAGAGCAGAUCUUGGUGGUAGUAGCGACAAUUUCAGAAUGAAACACCGAAGAGGAGAAGGGUUAUUUCUACGAAAUGUUAGCCGGGAAGGUAAGGAAAGCUGCGGCUGCCCGAAACCCGAGCCUGUUAGUAUUCAGGCGCUUAUGAAUGGCGACAGACGCGCGGUGCACUGUGGGCUUCGGUUGUGCAGCAGCUGUCGUUUGCUGUGGUCUGUAUUUGUAGGGAGCGUUAUGCAGCGAGCUACACUGUGAAGACACAAUAUACUGUUUGGUAUAACACAAUGCUCGGCACGCACCGUGAAGAUGCACCGUGCUUGAUCCCGUACCUAGUCCGAAACAGGUCUCCAAGGCUAGCAGCCUCUGGUGUUAGAAGUAAAGUAAGUAAGGGAAUUCGGCAAAAUGGAUUUGUAACUUCGGGAGAAGGAUUGGCUCUAUUUAUAGAACUGUGUUUGGCAAGGGGAAUCUGACUGUUUAGUAAAAACAUAGCUUUAUGUAUGUGCAUAAAGUGAAUUCUGCCCAGUGCUCGAAAUGUCAAGCUGUCGAAGGGCAGUAACGCACGGGUUAACGGCGGACGUAACUAUGACGUUCUUAAGGUAGCCAAAUGCCUCGUCAUCUAAUUAGUGACGCGCAUGAAUGGAUCAACUAGAUUCCCACUGUCCCUACUUACUUCUAGUGAAACCACAGCCAAGGGAACGGGCUUGGCAAACUUAGCGGGGAAAGAAGACCCUGUUGAGCUUGACUCUAGUCUGACUUUGUGAAGAAUCAUGAGAGGUGUAGCAUAAGUGGGAGGUCGCUUGCGGCCAAAAGUGAAAUACCACUACUCUUAUCGAUUCCUUACUUAUUCGGUGAAACGGGAUUGAGCAAUUAAUUUGUUCUUGUUUUUGGUGUUAAGACUGCUCGCUCAGCGAGCAGUCAACCCGCGUCGAUGACAGUGUCAGGCGGGGAGUUUGACUGGGGCGGUACAUCUGUCAAACUGUAACGCAGGUGUCCUAAGGCGAGCUCAGAGAGGACGGAAACCUCUCGUAGAGCAAAAAGGUAAAAGCUUACUUGAUCUUGAUUUUCAGUACGAAUACAGACCGCGAAAGCGUGGCUUAUCGAUCCUUUUGAAUUAUAAAGUUUUCUAGUAAGAGGUGUCAGAAAAGUUACCACAGGGAUAA
rnacentral:rRNA from 1 species